rnacentral:rRNA from 1 species
UCCUACGGGAGGCAGCAGUAGGGAAUCUUCCACAAUGGACGAAAGUCUGAUGGAGCAACGCCGCGUGAGUGAAGAAGGGUUUCGGCUCGUAAAGCUCUGUUGGUAGUGAAGAAAGAUAGAGGUAGUAACUGGCCUUUAUUUGACGGUAAUUACUUAGAAAGUCACGGCUAACUACGUGCCAGCAGCCGCGGUAAUACGUAGGUGGCAAGCGUUGUCCAGAAUUAUUAGGCGUAAAGCGCGUGCAGGCGGUUUCAUAAGUCUGAUGUGAAAGCCCACGGCUCAACCGGGGAAGUUCAUUAGAAACU